GUGAAUCAUCGAAUCUUUGAACGCAAAUUGCACUCUCUUCUAAGAGUAGGCCUGUUUGAGGGUCAGCCUAAGAAAAAUCGACAUAGUUCCUUGUACGUGGUUACGUUCGACGGAAAUUGGUUCAUCUUAAGCCUUUGGGUUUAAGCGGUUUAAAAUUUUCUUUACGAUUCCAUGAACUUUGCUAAGAUUUUGUUUUCUUAUACGUUGAAGUUAUC
rnacentral:misc_RNA from 1 species